AUCUAUCGCGUUUGAAUCAAUCGACGCGCGCAAUUCGCAUUCGAGGCGGCAACGCGACGAGACGAGACGUUGGAGGAGACGUUGGACGAGACGUUGGAGGAGAGCUUCAUGCCAGAACAAAACCAAAGCAUUGGGAUGAAACGAGAAACUAUUAUCCGCAGCCUUAUCCUGUACCUUGGUGAGAAAGAGGAGGCGUUAUUUGAAGACUGCCUGGUGGACAGCCGCAGUGAUGCAUCUCAACACAUCGUGAGGAUCGUGGUUGUCCGUGGCACCGAUGGAGAAGAUCCCGUUGACGUAUCGAUCCUCCUUGAAGGCAAGGAGAUGUUGGCGGGAUGCGAUUUAUUUACUAAAAGACUGGUUUCAAGCAUCGUACAAGGGUUAUUGGCACGGUGACAAUUUUCUCUUGUGAAGGUUUUGGAGGGGAUUCCCCCCACGACCUCAAAGUCUUAUAUUUAGGUAGAUAUAAUUUAUGUAAUAUAAAGCAGGAGGGUUAUAUCUGAGAGACAAUUGGGAGGUCAAGGGUCAGUCUGCAGAGUAUGCGUGCAUGUGUAUAUGUGUGUGUGUCUCUGCCUGUGUG